rnacentral:lncRNA from 1 species
UUGUGUGUUGAUUAUCAUCUGAAAUUGAUUUCUUUGUGUUGAUUCAUUUUGGUUUCUCUAAAAAACUAAAAGAGCAAAUUGAGUGGUAAAAGGCAGAGUGUUUUUAUUAUUAAAAAAAAAGAAGUUUUUUGUGUGUUGAUUAUCAUCUGAAAUUGAUUUCUUUGUGUUGAUUCAUUUUGGUUUCUCUAAAAAACUAAAAGAGCAAAUUGAGUGGUAAAA